GGCUCAGGACGAACGCUGGCGGCGUGCUUAACACAUGCAAGUCGAGCGAUGAAGUUCCUUCGGGAAAUGGAUUAGCGGCGGACGGGUGAGUAACACGUGGGUAACCUGCCUCAUAGAGGGGGAAUAGCCUUUCGAAAGGAAGAUUAAUACCGCAUAAGAUUGUAAUGUCGCAUGACAUAGCAAUUAAAGGAGUAAUCCGCUAUGAGAUGGACCCGCGUCGCAUUAGCUAGUUGGUGAGGUAACGGCUCACCAAGGCGACGAUGCGUAGCCGACCUGAGAGGGUGAUCGGCCACAUUGGGACUGAGACACGGCCCAGACUCCUACGGGAGGCAGCAGUGGGGAAUAUUGCACAAUGGGGGAAACCCUGAUGCAACAACGCCGCGUGAGUGAUGAAGGUCUUCGGAUUGUAAAGCUCUGUCUUUAGGGACGAUAAUGACGGUACCUAAGGAGGAAGCCACGGCUAACUACGUGCCAGCCGCUGC
rnacentral:rRNA from 1 species